GCGGGAUAGUACAAUAUAGCAAUAUAUAGCAAUAAUAAUGAUACACUAUUAUAAUUGUAUAUUAUAUAUGUAAUACUAUUAAUAAUAUUGCAGUAUAAUGGGAUAGUACAAUAUAGCAAUAUUAAUAAUACACUAUUAUAAUUGUAUAUUAUAUAUUACAUGUAAUACUACUUAUAAUAUUGCAGUAUAGUGUUAUAGUACAAUAUGGCUUUUGAUUUUGUGAUACGAAAUCCAGCAUAUACAUCUCGUUCUCUGUGUCAUACUAUGUCUUUGUGUCAAUAAUAAUAAUAAUAAUACUUUAUUUUUCUAUCCCGCCACCAUCUUCCUGCAGAGAAGACUUCUGUAGAGUCUUGCCACCUUCUCUUCAGCUUCUCUUCGGUCCUUGCCAUCUUGAUAUUGUAAUUAGAACGAUAGGAUUGGAAGACGGCCAUCCAGCCGAGCCUCCUGCCUAGGAUACACAUAUCAAAGCCCUCCUGACAGAUGGCCAUCCAGGCUCUGACCCCUCUCUACCUUACAUUAGUUUAUUAUGGAACAGGCAUGGGUAAACUUUGGCCCUCCAUGCAGGUGUUUUGGACUUCAACUCCCAUAAUCCCUAACAGCCUCAGGCCCUUUCCUUUUCCCGCUUAGCCGCUUAAGUGUGUGGUGUGGGAGAGGUUAGACAUUUGAUUGGACUGAGCAUGUUCAGACACAGAACUCCAUUUUGUAGUCAGUCGGCUUUACAACUCAGUGGAGUAAGUGUGUGGUGUGGGAGGCGUUAGACAUUUGAUUGUACUGAACAUGUUCAGACACAGAACUCCAUUUUGUAGUCAGUCGGUUUUACACCUCAGUGGAGUAAGUGUGUGGUGUGGGAGGCGUUAUAGACAUUUGAUUGUACUGAGCAUGUUCAGACACAGAACUCCAUUUUGUAGUCAGUCGGCUUUACACCUCAGUGGAGUAAGUGUGUGGUGUGGGAGGCGUUAUAGACAUUUGAUUGUACUGAGCAUGUUCAGACACAGAACUCCAUUUUGUAGUCAGUCGGCUUUACACCUCAGUGGAGUAAGUGUGUGGUGUGGGAGGCGUUAUAGACAUUUGAUUGUACUGAGCAUGUUCAGACACAGAACUCCAUUUUGUAGUCAGUCGGCUUUACACCUCAGUGGAGUAAGUGUGUGGUGUGGGAGGCGUUAUAGACAUUUGAUUGUACUGAGCAUGUUCAGACACAGAACUCCAUUUUGUAGUCAGUCGGCUUUACACCUCAGUGGAGUGUGUGGUGUGGGAGGCGUUAGACAUUUGAUUGUACUGAACAUGUUCGGACACAGAACUCCAUUUUGUAGUCAGUAG
rnacentral:lncRNA from 1 species